rnacentral:rRNA from 1 species
UACGGAGGGAGCUAGCGUUGUUCGGAAUUACUGGGCGUAAAGCGCGCGUAGGCGGCUUUGUAAGUUAGAGGUGAAAGCCCGGAGCUCAACUCCGGAACUGCCUUUAAAACUGCAUCGCUUGAAUCCAGGAGAGGUGAGUGGAAUUCCGAGUGUAGAGGUGAAAUUCGUAGAUAUUCGCAAGAACACCAGUGGCGAAGGCGGCUCACUGGCUCGGUACUGACGCUGAGGUGCGAAAGCGUGGGGAGCAAACAGG